UACGUAGGGGGGCAAGCGUUGUCCGGAAUCAUUGGGCGUAAAGAGCGUGUAGGCGGCUCGAUAAGUCUGCUGUGAAAGUCCAGGGCUCAACCCUGGAAGGCCGGUGGAAACUGUCGGGCUAGAGUCCGGAAGAGGCGAGUGGAAUUCCCGGUGUAGCGGUGAAAUGCGCAGAUAUCGGGAGGAACACCAAGGCGAAGGCAGCUCGCUGGGACGGUACUGACGCUGAGACGCGAAAGCGUGGG
rnacentral:rRNA from 1 species